GCCAAUGUGGUGUAGUGUUUUGAGUGUCAGACUAUGACUCUGGAGACCAAGGAUCAAAUCCCUGCUCAGCUG